rnacentral:misc_RNA from 1 species
GAUGAAGAACGUAGCGAAAUGCGAUAAUUAAUGUGAAUUGCAGAAUUUAGUGAAUCAUCGAAUCUUUGAACGCACAUUGCGCCCCUUGGUAUUCCGGGGGGCAUGCCUGUUCGAGCGUCAUUUCAACCCUCAAGCUCUGCUCGGUCUUGGGCCGCGCCGGCAACGGCGGGCCUCAAAAACAGUGGCGGCGCCAUCUGGUCCCUCAGCGUAGUAAUUCUUCUCGCUGCUGGGCCCCGGUGGCCGCUUGCCAGCAACCCCAAACUUUCUAUGGUUGACCUCGGAUCAGGUAGGGAUACCCGCUGAACUUAAGCAUAUCAAUAAGCGGAGGA